AGAAUAUUAGUCAAUGGCCUAACGGCUGAACUGGCAACUUGGAGAAGUGGCAAGUCUUCCAGUAUGGGGAGCAAAACAGCUAUGGGUCAAGUCCGAUAUCUUUAGGAGAAGUCUUAUUGUGAGGGCGAGUUAUAUAACACCAUAGGACUGGCCGUCCCAUAUGAAAAGAUUAUAUUAGAAUUGAAUGAAGCUUUGUUUAUAUAUUGAUAAUGACAGUAUAUAUAUCGUGUCUUGACUAAUUGCGUGCCAGCAGUCGCGGUAAUACGUAAGAGACUAGUGUUAUUCAUCUUAAUUAGGUUUAAAGGGUACCCAGACGGUCAAUAUAGCUUAUAAAAUGUUAGUACUUGACUAGAGUUUUAUGUAAGAGGGCAGUACUUGAGGAGGAGAGAUGAAAUUUCGUGAUACCAAAGGGACUCUGUAAAGGCGAAGGCAGCCCUCUAUGUAAAAACUGACGUUGAAGGACGAAGGCACAGAGAACAAACAGGAUUAGAUACCCAAGUAGUCUUUGCAGUAAAUGAUGAAUGCCAUAGGUUAGAUUGAUCAAUUAUAGUCUAGGGUUAGUCUAGCAAACUAAUGCCCUAUGAUAUAAUUCAAAAUAUCUGGUCUAUAAAUGAAAGUGUAAGCAUUUCACCUCAAGAGUAAUGUGGCAACGCAGGAACUGAAAUCACUAGACCGUUUCUGACACCAGUAGUGAAGUAUGUUAUUUAAUU
rnacentral:rRNA from 1 species